UUGCAAUUUCUCGCUUUCUUUCAUAUCUUUUUUAAUCGAGAACCUCCGAUUCCUCUUCUCACCGUCACAUGGUGCUGAAUUUUGAAUUCUUCGCCCUCAAUUCCCUCGAUUCCAUGUUCAACUUCCCCUAAUAAUCUUCCAUUUCUACGCUUCUCUUUCUUCUUUUUCCUUCCCGGAUGGAACCUCACAUCGGCAAUAAGUUUCGCCUUUGCCGGAAGAUCGGUAGCGGCUCAUUCGGGGAGAUCUAUCUUGGUUCGUCUGGUUUUUCUCCAUUCCAGCUUCUCAUUAUGCUCCUCUAUUACAACAACUAGAUUUUAAUGCUUCAAUUCCAUCUGCAAGUACUAAUAUACAGACGAAUGAAAAGGUUGCAAUUAAAUUCGAAAUAUUUCCGUCAGAUUUGUGUGCAAUAAGAGAAGAUUAUGGGAAGGAUACAAGUUUUCGACAAAUGUUCGUGAAUGAAUUAUUCGGCUUUAAUAGCUGUAGAGAUAUGCAUUUUUCUAAACAAGCAAAGCUGACAAUGAUCUGAAUUGUCUAGUUCGACGUCUAUGACUGUUGAGAAAGCGAUCAAUCUAUGAUGCUAUUGUUCGACAGCAAAAUUUUUACUGUCGAAAUUUGGGAACCUGGUAAUUUACAUUCUUGCUUAGUUUCUUUGAUCAUAUGGAUUUGAAUCGGGGCUCGCUCUUCAAUCUCUGCAGAAUUUAAAAAUCCCUCUUUAGGCAUCACAAAGAAUAAAGAAUCCUUUGGGACGUUCCUAACAUCUGAUAUAUUGAGGAAAAUGUCAAGACGAAGCAUUCUGAGUUGCUUUACGAGUCUAAGUUAUACAGAAUUCUUCAGGGAGGAAACGGCUUAAUGAUAACCUAUUAAAUGGAUCAAUCUCGAGAGAACUUACUGGAAUUACAAGUCUGGACCAAUCUUGAGAGAACUUAUUGCAAUUACAAGUCUUGAACUUGUUCGAAACUUAAAUCAUAUGCUUCUCAAGUGAUUGAUGGUACACUUGACAUGAACGAGGAUGAGAUUUUCGUACGAGUAUUUGGACUGGAGAAACACGGGCGUGUUCGUGGUUAUGGAGUAGGUGUUACUCCUUCUGAGUUGUUUGGAUCAUCAUCUACUAUACGCGAUCUUGAGCGUCGUCUUAAUGAGUCCGAACAACGACUUUAAGAAUCUGAACGACAAAGAAAAGAAUCUGAACAACAAAGAAAGGUUGAGGUAGAAGCACUUAGGCGUCAAAUAAGAGAAUUAGAAAAUUAUUUUGAGGAUAGAUUUCAAAAAAUGAUGGCAAAGAUGCAUAAAAAAUUUGUUUCUAGUUGAUCAAUUGUAGUUUGAUGUUAUAGAAUUUCGAUAGCCUUUUGGUAUACUUUUAUGACAUAUAAGUUUACU